rnacentral:rRNA from 1 species
AAAACCGGUCUCAGUUCGGAUUGGAGUCUGCAACUCGACUCCAUGAAGCCGGAAUCGCUAGUAAAGGCGGAUCAUAACGCCGCCUUGAAUACGUUCUCGGGUCUUGUACUCACCGCCCGUCACGUCAAGAGAAUUGGUAAUGCCCGAACGUCGCUUUACGGCGGCGGAAGGCAGGACCAGUAAUAGGGACGAAGUCGUAACAAGGCAUCCGUAGCGGAAGCUGUGGAUGGAUCACCUCCUUUCUAGGGA